GAGCUGGAAACGAAUUGGCGGCUUCCUCGUGUCCUUUGUACGCGGCGGAGCGGGGGUUCGGGACGGAGCGGGCGGACGGUGCGAGGCACGGGAGCAGGAGGCACUGAGACACGGGGGGCGAGACGGAGCCCUCGUGGGUAUGAGUGGGAGCCACGACGAGAGGAAACCAUCGGAGUCGGAUCUGCGAGCGGCUUCUGCUCGGAAUGCUAACAGGAUACCGGAAUGCUUGUGAAUAAACAACGCUGCGAGUGAAUCAAAAGCAUAGGGGGAAAAUAAGGAGAAAAACAAACCGGUACACCCGGAGAUUCUCUGCCUGGGGGCGAACACACGCAGCAGCCCGACCCUGGAAUUUGAGGAGGAAAAGUCCCAUCCGUGGAGCCCCGAGGGCUUCGAGCACCGGCGGGGAUGCGGCCGUGGGCAGCGCCCGGGAGCCCCGCGGAGACCCCGCGGCCGUACGGGUGGGGCGAUCCCCGAUGGAGCAUCGCCGGGAUCGGAUGCGAUGCGAAGGGCGCUCUCGGUAAAGGAAAGAGCAAAAGGAAGGGAAGAAGGCGCCUUCUGGUUGCAAUUACCUGCCUCAUUUGAAUAAUACCUUUGUCGUGAUCAUUAUCGAGCAUUCGUUAACGGUUUCCAUGUGGGAUCUCACGAGAGCGAGAAAAAAAAAAAAGAAAGAAAGAAAGAAAAAACAGAGAGAAAAAGAAAAAAUGGAAGUUGGGUCUGGCAAAGCGGCCCGCCAGGCCGGGCCGGAGUCGGCCGUGCUCCUUCCCCCGACGGGGCUCCCCCACGUCCACCACUGCAGCGGAAAGGGGUGGUCGGGACCCUCCGCCGCCCGCCUCGGUCCCGUCCGUCUGGCGGCGGUGCCUACGGGUUGGUCCCGCGCAGGAGGGCUAGGAGGGCUAUGGCAUUAUUUAACACAGACCCCCGGGGAAG